AUUGCAUAUAUAUGACUGAAGUUGAUAAUAUAUGUAAAACCCUUUUUUUCAUAUACUAACUCUGUGUGUUUCUAGCUCCUCUUCUCCACAGGUUUUUGCUGAAAGCUGAGAAACAAACUAUUCCAGUGUGCUUUGAUGUGAGUGGAGCUGUCCUCCUUAAACUUCUUCAUCAUCCCAGUGAAGAGCUUUUCGUGAAUGGUGAGCUUGAUUAAGUUACA